GUGCAGAUGAUGAUAAAUCCUAGUAGUUUACACAGAGAGUUUUCUAUGAAGUCUCAAAAUCGAGCUUUUUAAGACUGAUGCACA